rnacentral:tRNA from 11 species
AAACCAGGGCUUGGCGUUGGGACGCUGGCUGGGGGGUUCGAUUCCUUC